rnacentral:rRNA from 1 species
UAGGGAAACCGAGUCUUAACUGGGCGAAUGAGUUGCAGGGUAUAGACCCGAAACCCGGUGAUCUAGCCAUGGGCAGGUUGAAGGUUGGGUAACACUAACUGGAGGACCGAACCGACUAAUGUUGAAAAAUUAGCGGAUGACUUGUGGCUGGGGGUGAAAGGCCAAUCAAACCGGGAGAUAGCUGGUUCUCCCCGAAAGCUAUUUAGGUAGCGCCUCGUGAACUCAUCUUCGGGGGUAGAGCACUGUUUCGACUAGGGGGUCAUCCCGACUUACCAACUCGAUGCAAACUACGAAUACCGAAGAAUGUUAUCACGGGAGACACACGGCGGGUGCUAACGUUCGUCGUGAAGAGGGAAACAACCCAGACCGCCAGCUAAGGUCCCAAAGUCAUAGUUAAGUGGGAAACGAAGUGGGAAGGCUCAGACAGCCAGGAUGUUGGCUUAGAAGCAGCCAUCAUUUAAAGAAAGCGUAAUAGCUCACUGGUCGAGUCGGCCUGCGCGGAAGAUGUAACGGGGCUAAACUAU